GACGUAGGGCGCAAGCGUUGUCCGGAUUUAUUGGGCGUAAAGAGCUCGUAGGCGGCUUGUUGCGUCGUCCGUGAAAACCUGUGGCUCAACUACAGGCUUGCGGUCGAUACGGGCGGGCUGGAGUUCGGUAGGGGAGACUGGAAUUCCUGGUGUAGCGGUGAAAUGCGCAGAUAUCAGGAGGAACACCGGUGGCGAAGACGGGUCUCUGGGCCGAUACUGACGCUGAGGAGCGAAAGCGUGGGGAGCGAUCCGG
rnacentral:rRNA from 1 species